AGGAGCAUGUGGUUUAAUUCGAUGAUACGCGAGGAACCUUACCUGGGCUCGAACGUAAGAUGACUGUAGGUGAAAGCUUACAUCUCUUCGGAGCAUUUUACGAGGUGCUGCAUGGUUGUCGUCAGCUCGUGCCGUGAGGUGUCGGGUUAAGUCCCACAACGAGCGCAACCCCUACCUUUAGUUGCCAUCAGGUUAAGCUGGGGACUCUAAAGGAACUGCCUACGCAAGUAGUGAGGAAGCGGGGAUGACGUCAAAUCAGCACGGCCCUUACGUCCAGGGCUACACACGUGCUACAAUGGCCGAUACAGAGGGCAGCUACCUGGUGACAGGAUGCAAAUCUCCAAAGUCGGUCUCAGUUCGGAUCGGAGUCUGCAACCCGACUCCGUGAAGUUGGAUUCGCUAGUAAUCGCGCAUCAGCCAUGGCGCGGUGAAUACGUUCCCGGGCCUU
rnacentral:rRNA from 1 species